GAUUCUAUUGUGUAUCUAGUUCUGUGCUUGAUAACAUAGUAUUUAGGAUAAAUUAAAAUGGUGGCAUUUUCUUCUACAUUCAUUUAACUAUUUGAUGCUAUGAUUUCCCAACUGGAAUUUUUUCCUUAAAUGCAUUGGGAUUUCUUGUUCAGAAACCUUUACUGCUCCAUUCUGUAGCCCACAAUUUUGGUAUCAUAUAAAUAUAGAGAAUAUAUUCAGUUUUAGGUGUAUUAGGAGCAGUACGUUUUAUAAAAUUUUGGAGAGAAUAAGUAACCUUAGAUAAAUUAACCUCUAGAUUUUUAGAGAUUGCAUUUUGUCAAUAUUAUUGCACCAUUUCCAAAAAUAACUUAAAAUUUGUGGUAGUGAAGAUUUACAAUCUUUAAAAGCUUAAAGAACGUUAACAGACUGUUACUUAUACUGAGAGACUCACAGUUAUCAACGGGCAAUAUGCAUUACCUUGAAGAAAACUUAUAUAUAUAACAGAAAGAGAAAAAGACCAAAAGCCUAGAGCAAAAUUCAGAAGAUUUUGGAAUAUUUAGUCAUAGUAUGGCUAAGACAGAAAGAUUUUUUUAAAAAAUAAUCAUCCACAAAAUAAAACCUUAUAGACUUUUAUGACAAGGGAAUUGAAGAUGUUACCUCACAGCCUUGAGGAAAAGCUAAUUUAGCAGUAACAGCAGUGGAUAUAGGCACAGAUAUGAGUGGUCUAGGGAAGGUGACAAACUGCAUUAAAAGGUUCAGAAGUAGGAAAAAUAGUUAAAUUAGAAAUGAAAAGAUUAAUAAACCAACCGACCUUUGGCAGGCUGAUAAUGUGGCUUUCUUUUAAAAUCGCAAAUCUGAGCUCAUUGCUGUCUGUUACUCAUGGAACCUUAUAAAUCCAUGUUUGGAUACCCCUUAGUCAAUGAGUGGGUUGGUAGAUAGAGGAAGGUACCAGAAUUAAGUCCUGCUUCCCACAGAAGACUGCUCUAUGCAUUGAAAGGAGGUGUAGAGCAGAGCCAUUUGUUAUUAGGCUAGGAUUGUGGGAAAGAUGAGAAAUGAGAAGAAAGCAGAUUGGAGCAUAAAAUGGGACCAGUGUAGUGAGAUAAAGAGAUAUCUAAAAGGGACUUAGUGGAUCAUUGCUUUCAGUCUAUUUCACAGUUGAUGAAAGUGAAAGCAAAGUACUUAAAAUAGGGAAUAAAAAGUGCUUGUGGAUUUUAAAAAGGAAACUAGGAGCGGUUAGUUGCAAAGAUGAUGCUAAACAGUACUAUGAAAGAUGAAAGAAGGUGAGAUAAAAAGGAAACUUGCAAAUUUUCUCCUAGAACAUUUGACUCAUCAAACAGUCAUAAAUUUGGGUCCCUUAAUAUGUUCUGUCUGGUGAUCUUUAUUGAGUUUAUUACAGCUUUUUUGCUGGUUAUAACAUCCACCUCAGCAAAUGAAGGCUGAGAAGUGUUCCACAUGAAAUAUUCAUUGGGUUUAUAGCCUUAAUCUUAAAAGUAAAAGCUAAAGUAAAAAGAGUUUUAGUGUCCAUUUUAUGUAUCUGAAAGCAUUGGGAGAGGAUAAAAUGAGAUUCAGCAUAAGGAGGAGAAAACUAACAGGAAGGAACUAUAUGGAAAGACUUUGAGAGCACAGAGUACUUUUAAAGUGGAAGUCUGAGGAUAUGGGAAAAAAAAUGAAAGAGACAAAAGAAUCUGAAGAAUUGAAAGCUGUUAGGAUGAAGCCAAGAUGUGACUUCAGCAGUCCAGUGUGGGAAAUUGCUGCUAAAGGAAAUGGAGAGUUUCAAAGACUUCUGUAUGAAUAGGGGAGAAUAGCCCCUCGGCUUGGGCUUCCUCACACAGCAUGGAAGUUAUAAAAGAACCUAGCAAAGAAGGCUUCAAGGAGGGACAGAAUUCAUUUUAAUUAGCAAGGUGAUGACAGCAGAGGAGAAGAUGCCAUUCACUGAGGACAUACUCUGUACACUUUACAUUAGUUAUUUAGUUCAGUUCUCACAAACAGGCAUUAUCACUAUUUUACAAAAAGGGAGACCAAGACUUAAGAGUUUAAGACUCAGCCAAGAUCAUAAUACAGAGUAGAAUAACUGACUUAUGAGCUGAGAUCUUUAGAGCCCAGACUUUUCCACAACAUUCAUUAUACAGCUUCCCAUCUAACUGCCCAUGGAAUCUCCCAUAGCCCCAGAUGGAAAGCAAGUAGCAGUGGCCACCCCUGUCCAAUAUCCCUCCCCCUGCUGCCAGUUUUGAAUUAGAAGCAAAUAAGUGCUCCAGAUAAAGGUACUCUAAAUGGGUUAAAUAAAAUUCAAUAAGGAAACUACAGUCUAUCAUCUCUCUGUUCAGGAAGGAAAAAGAAAAAGAAAUGCAAGGACAAAAGAAAUCCUUUUGCUCAGAGCAAGUAGGUUCUGACACACAGGAUACCCUAAAGCAAUGGUUCUCAGCAUUUUCAACUUUGGCCUCACAUGGGAAUAACUAGGAAGCUUUAAAAAACCUUCAGGUCUUUCUCCCACCCUAGAGAUUCUGAAUUUACUGGUCCAGGAUCUUUGGAAAUUUUCCCAUUGGAUUUUUAUUUGGAACUCCCUAGGUGGUUAUAAUAUUUGGCAAAGUUCAAGAACCAUUGCUAUACAAGUUUAGUUUAAUAAUGAAGCUCAGGAUUUCCUGUUGUGGCUCUGUGGGUUAAGAACCUGACAUAGUCUCCAUGAGGAUGUAGGUUUGAUCCCUGGCAACCCUGGCAUCCCUGGCAUCCCUGGCAUCCUCAGUGGGUUAAUGAUCUGUCAUUGCCACAAGCUGUGGCGUAGGUCACAGAUGCAGCUCGAUCCAGUGUUGCCAUGGCUAUGGCGUAGGGUGGCAUCCGUAGCUCAAUUGGAGCCCUAGCCUGGGAACCUCCAUAUGCCACAGGUGUGGCCAUAAAAAUAAAAAUGAAAUAAAAUAAAUUAAAAUAAUGAAGCUUAUUCCUUCCAGCCUCCAAAUAAAAAGAAUUCAUCUUUGCAUCUCCCUGUUAAUCUAGUGUCUUAUGAAUAAUAGAUGCUUAACAAAUAUUUGGAGAAUUAACUUGAUGAGCAGCAGAAAAAUGAUACGUGUACAGCUCUGAUCCUCUUUACUUUGGGUACCUCAUAAUGUCUCUAAAUCUAUCUUAUUCCCAGAAGUGUAUUAUGUUUAUUUCAAACAAGCCUCAGAAAACUGUGCAUCAGGAAAUUUCUGAAUCAAGGCAUAUUUGUGAUCUCUCAUCUGUUGCCAGUGUUCUCUUGUGUAGAAACCCCAUGCUGUAAACACUAUGGGAAUCCUCAGGACUCUUCUCUGCUUCCCUUGGCAAAGCACAACACCUCAGUUAGUUUUUUUUUUUCUUAAUUUCUUUCUUUAUAUAUAUAUUUUUUUCUACUGCACAGCAUGGUGACCCAGUUACACAUACAUGUAUACAUUAUUUUUUCUCACAUUACGUGUUCCAUCAUAAUUGACUAGACAGAGUUCCCAGUGCUACAAAGCAGGAUCCCAUCGCUCAUCCAUCCCGGAGGCAACAUCAGUUAGUUUUAAUUCUUUCAGGAAAGAUGACCUCUGGUGGUGGCAUACCACAGUGGUUAGUUAAGAGCAUGGAAGACUUCCUGAGUUCAAACCCACAGCCUACUGGCUGUUUACUGCCUUUGUAAACUCGGGAAGUUUACUUAGCCUGUAUUAUCUCUCAGUUUCCCCUCUAUACCAUAAUACGAAGAUUUAGUCAUACCUACCUCACAGGGAUCUGGUGAGGCUCAAAUGAGUCUGUGUAUGUGAAAUAUUGGAAUAGUGCCAUGUUUACAUGAAAAGUGUAUGUAAUUGUGUACUAUUAUCGUGGAGAGAAUAUUUUAUUAAAAUGAGUUUAUAAUAUUGUCUAUAAGUUUUCAAUAACCCAACAGAAUUUACAGGAAUAUGCUAAAGAGGAUUUUCAGUUGGUAAGAGGAUUUUCAAGUGUUACUGAGAACAGGCAUGAGAUGGGCAAUGAAGGUGGUUUGAUUUUACCAUUUACUUUUUACCUUGUCCAUUUUACAUUGAGGCCAGCCUCAUUGGACAUGGUAUAUAGCCAAGAUCCAUGCAGAUAAAGAUGCACAGUUACUGUGAAGUUACAAGAAGGUUGGGAACUCACACUUAUGUGAAGGUGUGUAAGGGAGUGGAAUCUGUGAUUCAGGAAAGCAUCCAGGUUAGACUUCAUAAAGGCUUAUCUGACUUGGUAAAGAAGAUGAUAAAUGUCAGGUUACUGAAAGAGAAUGUAAAAGGAUAGGAAUCACUUAUAUUAAAUAGUUGUAAGUGGUAGUAAACUUUAAAGGUGUACAUAAACCUUCAUCCAAACAGCAAGUCACCUCUAAUUAGGCUUCCUCUAAUAGAAAUCAGGGUGAAAAUCCUUAUAAAGUUAAUAUCCCUACUCUAGCUGGACUCUCAAAGAGAUAAUAGAUCAAAUGAUAGAAUCUGAGGAUGGAGGAUGGUUUAUUUUGGGUUUCCAGCUGUGACUUUUCUGGAUUUCAAAAUGACUGCCUUGAUAUUUAUUUUUUCUCUUGGGAAAGAAGGGAAAAAAUCCUUUACUGCAUUCCCACUGUCUAGGAUAUUAGCUGUUACAAUUCCUGCUGGCUGACCUCAUGAAAGAGGACAUUGCAUUUAACCAGCUCAGCUUUUCUUCCCCCUUUCUCACUGUAGAUAUUACUGUACAACACACACUGGAUAUUGGACUAGUCUUUGAGAGCACUGUAACAUGACUUACACAAAGAAGCAAGUAACUUUGUCCUGUUUCCUUCCAAGCUCCAACUGGCACAGAUAAAAUUCCCAUGAGUUGUAAAAUGACAAUUAUAGUUUGUGGCUUUCUGGAAAAUGUCUUAUUUGGGUUUGGCUUAAAAAAUUAAUCUGCUUUUUUUUUUUUUUUUUACCAAAAAGAGUAUAAAUAACAUUCUGUUUUUCAUGCAGUUAAUCUAUUUACUAGUUUAUAAGACCCAAAUACAUUUAAGAAAAUUAGCCAUUGUAGUUUGUAUUUAUCAGUGAUAAACUCAUGCUUGGAAUUGCUUAGAACAUGAGUAAGGGUU
rnacentral:lncRNA from 1 species